rnacentral:lncRNA from 1 species
GGCACGGCCCUGCAGGCGGAGAGAGAGGCGCUGGGUCAGUGCGGCCGCCCCCGCCCUCCCCCGGCGGGUGUGCGCCGGGGACGAGCUGCUCGGCCCGGGGAAGACGAGGCGGUGCCCGCCGAGACGAGAGCGGAAGGCCGUGCGUGAGCGUCGAAAGUUUUUCACUCUCCGGAGGAGCCGCGUCCUUCAGGGCGGGUUGCGAAACGCCUUUUCCCUGCGUCCUGUUUCUAGCACAGUGGAAGUAAGCUCCAGCCCGUCACAGCUUUCUUGCCAACUGCUCUAAGAAGUUCAAAGCCCACUGGUGCAACUAGUAAGCAUGGGGGAAAGCUUGGGUACUGAACUGGCUUCUGGAGGAACUUGAGCUUAAGGAUGAAAUAUGGAAAAUGCUACAGUUUUUGCCAUAGACAGCACCAAAACAGACCUGUGUGAAUGGAGUUCCUGUGGUUAGCAAGUGUGCUUGGCUUCCUGCUACCAUGCAGCUUUGAUAGAAGCCUAGAGGAGUGUUGCGUGUGGACCAGCUUUGAGCAGCUUGCUAAUUAAUGGUGCUCUGCAGAAAUGUCAGGAUCAUAUUUGGACACUGAUGACUUCAGCCAAAACUGCUGAAGGCUGUUGCUAAGUCUGGCUGUUGACCAGCUGUUAGCAGCUUGCAGGCUGAUGAUCAGUACUUAGCUUAGUGUGUCUGUGCCACACCACUUGUGACAAACGGUAGUGACAUUGGAGAGAUCAUAAAUGCUAAGUCUGAAUUGCACAUCCAUCUGGUCACUGGAAACAGCUGGCAUGCUGGCUUCACAAGCACUCUGUCAACUGCUUCAGUCCUUUGCAGGUUUGGUUUAUAAAAUACUUGUUUCCAUUGUGUUUGCUUCCUAAAACCAGGCAAAACCAAUGGUUUUGCAGCACUGGUUUGGAAAUCCACAUUUGUUCUUUGCAUCGUAUAUAGACCACAUACCUUUGUGAUACAGCACCUGUUUUGUCAGUCUGUAUUUGCAGGAUGUCACAGACAAAUAUACCCAUCCCUUAAACAUGUAGCUGUAGUGCGCUUUUUUUUCCCCUGAAAAAAAAUAGUUAUGUGCUAGACCUUAAUGGUGGUUGAUUGCUACGUACGAAAGGUACUUCUGCUUAGCCUUCAGUGUCUGUGGAUGUUUUAUGUGAUGUAAUAUGGAGAUUGAUGCUGGCAAGGGAGCAUGUGGUACUUUGUUCUGUGAUGUUUCUCAGUGAAAAUUUAUCCUGGUAACAAAUAUAGGCUUUAUCAGGAUUGGUUUUAAGUUUGGGCAAAGUAAACAGAU